rnacentral:rRNA from 1 species
UACGGAGGGUGCAAGCGUUAUCCGGAUUCACUGGGUUUAAAGGGUGCGUAGGUGGGCAGGUAAGUCCGUGGUGAAAUCUCUGAGCUUAACUCAGAAACUGCCGUGGAUACUAUUUGUCUUGAAUAUUGUGGAGGUGAGCGGAAUAUGUCAUGUAGCGGUGAAAUGCUUAGAUAUGACAUAGAACACCAAUUGCGAAGGCAGCUCACUACACAAUUAUUGACGCUGAGGCACGAAAGCGUGGGGGAUCAAACAGG